rnacentral:rRNA from 1 species
UACAGAGGUCUCAAGCGUUGUUCGGAUUCAUUGGGCGUAAAGGGUGCGUAGGUGGCGGGGUAAGUCAGGUGUGAAAUUUCGGAGCUUAACUCCGAAACUGCAUUUGAUACUGCCUUGCUUGAGGACUGGAGAGGAGACUGGAAUUCACGGUGUAGCAGUGAAAUGCGUAGAUAUCGUGAGGAGGACCAGUGGCGAAGGCGGGUCUCUGGACAGUUCCUGACACUGAGGCAGCGAAGGCCAGGGGAGC